UCCAUAGGAUGAUCCAUUUUUGCGCUUGAUGGACGAUCGUAAGUUACAGGCAGUUAACACUGAGCCUGACCAUCCAACAAAUGUUUAUGGAUCUAAAGAAGAUGAUGCUGUAGCUUUAAAGACUCUCGGAAAUUCAGAUAGCUCCAGAACAAAGUAGGGAAACUCUCGCUUCUGAAAUUGUGAAAACUUUGGGAAACUUGUCGGAGUUUAAAUUGUCCACCAUACAGGAACUGCUGCUGAAUGAAUUCUUGCCAGACGAUGUGUGUCCACUAGAUGCCCAUUUUUCUAUGGAUGCUCCUCAUAAAGUAUAUCAAGCUGGGCCUGAAGACAAUAAAUCUAUUGAGGGAGCUUCGGUUUGGUUAAUAGAUGAUGAUGAUAAUGAUGCUUUUCUGGAACCAUUUGAAGCCAAACGAAGGAUAGUUC